CAGUAGGGAAUCUUCGGCAAUGGACGAAAGUCUGACCGAGCAACGCCGCGUGAGUGAAGAAGGUUUUCGGAUCGUAAAACUCUGUUGGUAGAGAAGAACGUUGGUGAGAGUGGAAAGCUCAUCAAGUGACGGUAACUACCCAGAAAGGGACGGCUAACUACGUGCCAA
rnacentral:rRNA from 1 species